UAUUCUUGUUUGGUUGUCACGUAGGAGCUUGUCAAAUGUGAAAAUUGAUAGUUUUGGUAACAAUAAACAAGUUCAUCCGCAAUUCAUUCAAUGCCUGUAUGUGUCUCGAAUUUCAAAUCCAUUUAAUCAGAUAACCUCAUACACGGAACGUUGUGCUUAUGUGUGUUAUAUUUGGACAUAAUUGCCAAUUACAUGCCAAUUAGUGAAUUUCGCGGGCACCUGUUUGAAUGGAAAUAACUUGUUAUCAACAACAGCUAACAUGAGUCGAAAUACAAAAGCUUACCUGAAAUCAAGUGAUGGACAAUAUUACCCACUUUCACCAAAGGUGACAACUAUUGGAAAGGAUGGCUGUGACAUCCUACUUCAGAAUGCGGGUGUGGACCAACAACAUGCAGUGAUAGAAUACAGCGAGCAGGAGGACUGCUUUGUGCUGCAGGAUCUUAACACAGGUCAGGGUACAUAUGUUAACGACGUACGUGUCCAAAAUGCAGCAGUGCGACUUGCUCCUGGUGAUGUCAUACGAUUUGGGGGAAUACCAUAUGAGCUAUAUAUAGAAAACCCUCCACCAUUACAGCAGCAGACAAUCCAGAAUUACCACCAAACCAACUAUUCUUCAGCCAACACAAUUGCAUAUCCGCCUGUCCAGCAGCGCCCAGCCUGGACCGGUACCCUGGCCUUGAUAUCGGACGACCAGACCAUCUAUACCCAGCAACAAAACCAGUCUGCGGGCCUGCCCUACCUGACCACGCCCACUCUCACAGUUCCCGCCACCCAUUGGGCGCCCAUUGCACAUGCCCAGCCCCAGAUACCGCAGCCACGCCCACCUCUUAGGUCGCGGCCUUUGAGUGCUGGGUCACGGCGACCUACCUCUGCUUAUGAUAGACUCCAGAAUAUUGGCAGCACAAUGCACACCUCCACCAUAGCAGGAAUUACCUCCCCUAUUCCAAGAACAGUAAAUACAAAAGCAUGGACCGUACAAGGUGGUGGCUGGGUGAACACAGGCACAGGUCGCAGCAUGGUUGCCAGUCAGUUUGCCCCGCCCUUGUCACAGCAGUCCAACACCCAGGGGCCCGGGGAGCUUUACUUGCUGCAUGAGAAGGAUCUGAAAAUACGAGAGCUAUCAGAGGAGGUAAACCGACUCCGUGCUGUGGAACUGGAGUCGAUGAAGAAGGACCAAACAAUGGAUCAGAUGCAGCAGCAGCUUCAGAACAUGCACUCACAACAGCAUGCUCCCAUGGUGAUUGGUGCAGAUCCUGAUGUGACGAGUCGACUGCUGCACCUGGAGAAUGAAGUGACUGCCAAGAAACAAGAAAUCAACCAGUUGCGAGAGCAGCUAUCACAAUUACAGGCUCAGACGGUUAUAGACCUUGAAAAUCCCGGAAAUAUACGAGCAGAGCUCGCUGAAAAAAUUAAAGAGCUAAAUAACCUUCGGAAUGAGCUUGAACGGGUGAAAAAAGACAAAAAUAUUACAUCAGGAUUAGUUACGCAAAUGCAGCGAGAUAUGGGCAAUAAAGACUCUUCAAUAUCAAAAUUGACCCGGGAAAUUGAGGCGCUAAAAAAAGAACUACGGGAGAAGGAUUCCAAACUGUCCACAAUGACCACCACAGUUAAUAAGCUUAAGGACCCAAAAAACGAGGAAAGAGACGCCCGGGAGCGUGAAUUGAUCAGUCUCAGACAGAAAUUCAAGACGACAGAGAGCAAGGUUGCCGAGCAGCAGACGCUUAUCGACAGUCUCCGAGAGGAAUUGGAGAAGACAAAGACAACGCUGUUCGCGGAGAAAGACGUACAGCGGAAACUCCAGGGUUUGAUUGACGAGGCCAAGAGUCAGGCCCAGGAUUUAGAGCGCGCUGAGCGACUCGUGCGUGUUGAUUUGGAACAGCUCUCCAAAAAGAAUGAACGCUUUAGGAACCGUGUAGUUCAAACAACAUUUUCAACGCCGGGUAUAAAAGCCCCAGACACAGAAAUAAGCGAUGAUGAACUCCUAGAAACGCUCAAGAAAAUAAUCGAUGAGAGAACAAACUCGUUUAAGAAUAUCAAGGAAUUGGAACAUAAGUUAAAAAUGGCCGACACCAACAGCAAAGACUUUCAAAAGAAUGUACAUGAUCUACGCAAGGGAGUCCAGAAUGCAAAAGCACACUUACGACAAAAUGGCCGCCUGUCCGGCCCUCUGAAAGACGAGAUCAGCCUCCUGCAGUCUGUGACCUGUGACGACAGCCUGGCCUGGAUCAAGGAAGUGUUUAUAGGCCUCCUGCAGGGGGAGCUAGCGUGGGAGACAGAUAUCGAAAAUGCUCUUGAGAAAUGUGGCGUCAAUGUGAAACUUACUGCUGACGAGCCUAGCAAGCACAUCGCGCUGUUAUUUGCCAAGUGGGAGACGGCAUUAAGUGACAAAGAGCGUCUGGUGAAGCAAAUUUCUGACCUUGAGUCACGACACCGUGAAGACCUUGCCUCACAAAGCACACAGCAGAAGACUGAGGUGGAGGGGCUGGUGGCAGACGCAGUGGAGAAGGCAAAACUGGAAGUUGAGGACAAAAUGAACCGUGCAAUUGAUGACAUCCGUGCAGUGGAGGCAGAGAAGCUUGAGAGUGCCCUGCAGUCCGAGAGGAGGAAGAUAGAGGACCUAGAGGCCACAGUGGAACAACUCAGAUUUAACCUGACAGAAAAGAAUGAGGACCAACAACAGAAGUUGGAGGCGGGACAGGAAGCCUUGAGUCUUGUGGAGGAAUACCAAGCCCAGGAAGUGCAACUGAAAGAGAGGCUAGCAUCUCUAGAAAAGGAGAAGAAUGAGACAUUUAUGAAACUCAGCACUGAACUUGUGGAGAAGGAGAAAAAGUACGAGGCAGAGUUGACGAGUUACAGGGAGCAGAUAAAGCAGCACUCGGUGACGAUCUGCGCGAUGGAGGAGCGGAUCACCAAGGUGAUGAAGAAGAACAAGGAGAGCUCAGAGGAGGCAGAGAGUUACAGGAAACAGGUCACAGAGCUCAAGACAGAACUAAGUAAGAAGGAGCGAGAGAAACCACCCCCACCGCCGAAACCUAAAGUGAUUCCUGUCGUGCAGAAGCCAUCACAUGACAUGGUUGCCAUGGAACAACUUAUACUGGUGCUUAGGAAGGAGAAUGCAGACGUGAAGCUGCGAAUGCAGGAGCAGGAUGACGUCAUUCUGGGGCUGAGACGUGACCUUGCAGGGGCCUCAGCACGUCUGUCUGACAUCACGGGUGAGUUGAGUGAGGGACAGAAGCAGGAGGUAGAGAAGUUCCGAGAGCUGGUGAGCCACAAGGAGCACGAGGUGGGAGAGAUGAGGCAGCAGCUGGCCAAACUCUCCAGGAUCAUUGACAGGCAGAAGGAGGAGCUGAAGGCACUGGAGGCCGACCUGAGCAAGGAGAAGUCCAUCUCACUCAAGUACAAGACCCAGGUGGACAAAGAAGUCCAGCGUGUUCAGAAUCUCGAGAAGAGCCUUGACGCUGAGAAAGUGGAGCAAUCCAAGCAGCUAGAGCUACUCGACCAGGAGGGGAGAAUCACGUCGGAGUUGACGUCCCUAGGUGCGCAGUGUCGGGGUGAACGCCACGAGCAGGUCAUAACACGCCAGAGAGAGGCUCUUGCUGAGUUGAGGUCAAGGGUUAAGACACUGGAGACUGCACGUCCUCCAGUGCCCACCCAGGACCAAGCUCUCCAGCAGGUCAUCAUGCUCAAGAAGGAGCUUGCAGAGAUGAGAGCCAAUCAGGCGCUUGCAGAGGACCGCAACAUCCAGAGUCUCACGAUGCUUGAUAGGGAGGUCGGUCGCGCACGCGGGCUAGUCACAACCUCAAACCCAGACGCAGAGAUGGAGCGUAGUGCACACAGGGAAACCAUGGAGGCAUUAGAGGCCAGCGAGAAUUCUUAUAUAACAACGCUCAACGCAAUAUCAUCUUGCCUGGAUGUGGAGGGGGUGGAAGGGUUACGUCCCCUUGGUCACAUUCCAAAGGACGAGCGGGAGCGGUUGCUACGGCUACGUGAACGCAUGUGCGAGAAACUCGUCAAUCAAAUCAGGGUAAACCGCGAACGCAUUGCACGGAAGGACGAGCUUCUACAGGGAUAUGAGAUGGACCUAGCAAAGCUCAGACAAGCUCAAGAGUUGGCAGAGAGGAAGUCACAGCAACUGGACACCCUAGCAAACGAUGUGCGUUCAAAGUCGGAGGAGUCCCAGUAUCUGCGUGAAUCUCUCCACCAGACGCGAGAUCGUCUUGACCAGGAGAAAAGGCUCAAUACGGCCAUCAAGCAGAGAAAGACAUUCCACUUGGAGAAUGAAAAGGUUCAUCUGACUCCCGCGUCACAUCGCUGUAAGCCAGAGGAUCCACGUGCGGUCUUGAAGAAGAAACGUGAGAGGGACGUUCUCAAACGAAAGAACUAUGAAAUCAAGACACUCAAGGACGAACUUACUGACAAAGAGAAACAUUUGUUCCAGGCACAAAAUAAACUCUAUGCAGUUACACAUAGUCAGUACUCAAAACCAUAGAUAUUGUGUUCAGAGGAUUUAGAAGAUGCAGAAAACAAUAGACCUUUCUCCGAUUCAGAAAGGAGUUUAACAGGGACCCAGGAGCUUUGGGAAAGAAAGACUAGCGAGAAACACAAAGUGGAAGUUGUUGGCUGACGUAAAUGUUUGUAUUAGAAAAAAAUGACAAAUAUAUGACAGAUAGUAAUAAAAAGGCUCUAGGUGUGUGCAUAGAAAAUAUAGCAAAUUUUUGUUGGAAAUGAAUUGUUCAUUUGCAGGUGGGUAUUACUCAGAAAACAAUGUUUAUGGCAUGUUGCAGAAUCGGCAUGAACUGUUCAAGAGAGCUUGCGUUAAUUAAAAUUCAUGAUCUUGUUUAUUGGCUACUUCCACACGAUUGUAAAGGAACAUUACAAAUAUAAAUGUAUGAGGUACAUAGUUAUAAUGUUGAAGGGAGUAGAAAAAGUUUAAAUAAUUUUGAGGAAAACUACUUGUCCAGUUGUUGGGUGUGUAAUAUGAUGCUCAUAUCAAAGGUGUUUCAACAGUAAUUUAUGGGGUUUUGUUUAAAAUUAAUGUGUUUACAUGAAAGGUGUAUAUAUUUGUGCCAAAAGCAAUCCGAGGAAAAUCUCAAAUUUUCUUUUGUUACUGAGAUAUACAUGUGCAGUUCUGAAAACUUUCAAUUGAUCUGACUCAGGAGAAGGUGAACUUUGUGAUUUAUAAGGAAUAUUGUUUAUUGAUAAUUCAUUUUAAAUUCAACUUCUUUUCCUUUGAACUUUUAACAUUUAAUCACAUAGGGUAAAUUAAAUUGUGUUAUAGUCAUGGAGAUAUUUUUGUUAUAUUGAAUUAAAACAAUUCAGUAAGUAUUCAUUAAAACUAAGUGAAAUACACUGUGACACUGCAUCUAUCAGUUUUGAUAAUAUUGGAUUCUUCGAUGCCAAAUUAUGCUUUCCAUAAUUUUCAUGUUACAGUAAAUCAGGAGAUUUUCAAAUUCAGCUUAUGUUUACAAAACAAUGAAAAGUUUUGCAAAUCGCAGAAAAAGAAUAAAACUGAUUUUUAUAAUGCAUGCACUUUUUUGUUUUAUACUUAUUAAGGCAUUUAUUUCAGCAGACAUGAAUGUUGAUCCAUUUUCUGUAUUCUGUGCUUCAAAAGCAAAAUCACUGCCCAUGUGUAAUGUCAGAUAUGAACAUGUUUGUUCCAUUUUUUGUGCUUUGACUUUAAAUACCCAUGAGUCUGAUAUUUAUCUAACAGACUUUUAAAUACCCAAUCUGAUAGUGUUUAACAGACAUAUUUAAAUACCAAUUGCUAAUACUUUUUAUUGGUCAAUGCUCUUGUUUUUACAUGGGUAAGAUCAUACACUGUUCUUUCGCUAAACAAGGCAAUAUUUGUCUUUUUCAGGUUUUGUGUUUAUUAUAUUUAUUGAAGGUUAUAUCAACCUUUUUCUUUUAAAUAUAUUAGCUUAUUUAGUAUUAUCAUGAUAAACUAAGGUAAAAUACUUGUUACUAAAAAACAACAACAACAAAUGAUUUAAAAAAAAUGUCAUAUUUGAUUUCUAUGUAAAUUAAAGUUUGUGAACAUUUUUUUAAACUAUCAUAUCAUAGUUUACAAUUAUUCAGAAUCUAUACUAUGUAAAGUAACCAUUUGCAAAUUUAUUAUGAACAUUAUGUUGACACACUCUCUUUACUGCAAGUGAUAAGUCCUUAUUGGUUAUUAUCAAUUAAUGUUCAAAUUAUAGAACUUGAUGUUAAAACAUUGGUUUACUAUAUAAGAAUUGGUUAUGUAAAGCAUGUGUUUUGAUGGCAUUUACAUUGUAUGUACAAUUGUGAGGAAUAAAUGAAAGUACAUACACAACUGAACUGUCCUGAAAUGUCUUUUUUUUAAGAAACGUAUUAGCCUGGAUAAAGAUAUGUUUGUAUUUUUUAAGAUCAAUAUUUAUCAUGGUUUCUAUUUGAAAUGCAUUUUACAAAUUAUAAUAUAUGUUGCUCAAGUUUUAAGAUGGAAAAUAAUGUAAGAUUAUUGUUGCAAAGUUAUGUGUUGUGACUGUUUAUUUUAACAAUAUUUUAUAACUGUUGUUGAAUGUUUUAAACAACUGUUUACUUGUUUUGCAAAAGAGCUUGUAAAACGGUUCAAGUUUAGAACGAACAACAACUAAGGCAUUUUUAACUCCAAGAAUACAUUCUUAUUUUUAAUGUUGAAUUGUGUAUAAUUGCCAGUGAACUGUCACUGUGCUUUAUAGUAUUAGAAAUAUUAGAUAAUGUAAUGGCUUUUAUUUGAAUUUUAUGUUUCAAUGCUUUUAUUGUGUCUUUUGGUCUGUGAUAUCUGUUUCAUUUGUUAUAAAAGAGUUUUACAUUUUUGUAAUCCAGUUUUCCUUAAAGGUAACUAUAACUUAUCCCAGUAUAUAACUGGGCUGUAGAAAAAUUAUUAUUAUUUAAUUAAUUGACAGACUCGAAAGAGUUUAUAUUAUGUGCUAGAUAUGUCAUUAUAAAUAGUUAUUGAUUUAUAUUCUCAGACCGUCAUACAAUUAGGUAUUUUUUUAUUCACAUAUGGAGGUAUUUUUGUACCUGUUCAUAUCUGAAGGUUGUUUAGUUUUAUAAAAAUUAAUUCCAUGUUUAGUUUUAUAAAAUUAAUUCCAGAAUCAUUUUUGUUGUAUUAUGUUCAAUUACUUGGACAUUCCAAAAGCUAGAAGGUUAUUUGGUAAUCUUACAGCACGAACUUUUUCUUCAUAAUAAAGGCUACUAUUCUUUUAAUAAAUGCUUCAUUUUGCUCUGUUUAUUUACACACACAUAUGUUAAAAUAUACAUACGGCAAUAAAGUUGAUUUAUGCGAUGACAAAACCUUUCCAACAAUGUGUCAUUAAAACGUCAAAUUCAAUUACUGGCAUUCUUUUUAAUAUUGAGUUGUGUAUCCGUGUAAAUUUCAGACUACUUUUAAAAUAACAAAAUAUGAUCUCCACUUCUUAAUAACUUUUAUUACACCCUGCUUCAUAAUACAACACACAGCUUUGGGAUUAUUGUUUCUUACACCCUGCUUCAUAAUACAACACACAGCGUUGGGAUUAUUGUUUAUUACACCCUGCUUCAUAAUACAACACACAGCGUUGGGAUUAUUGUUUUUUACUGCUGUGACAAAUAAAAUUGAAAAAAAUGUUUUUAUAAUUCUAUACAGCCUACUGAGCCUAAUAAAUGAAUUCCAUUUAUUGUAUAUACAUUUACACUCAUUGUUUAUGUUCUUAUAAUUUAUGUAAUAUUUUACUGCAAUUUAGUCAUUUGUAUUUAUUUUCUGUAAACACAGUUUACAAAGAAAUGCUCCAUUUUUAUACAAUAUGUUAAAUUCAGUAUAUUUACUUUACAAAAUAUGUCCAGAAGAACAACAACACAAGUUUUCAUGAGUUUACAACUUCUGUUGUUCUUCUCAACAUUGGCCUUUUGUUGUAUGCUCACAGGUUUUGUUCAUAGAUAUUUACAUAAACAUUGUUGAUGAUUUAGAACUCUUUCCAUUUUCUAUAGUACUUCGUAGUUAAUAGUAAUGUGUACUCCGGGAAAUGCUUCAGAAAUAAAUCUUGUAGAAAG